CGGGACACGUGGUAUCCUGUCUGAAUAUGGGGGGACCAUCCUCCAAGGCUAAAUACUCCUGACUGACCGAUAGUGAACCAGUACCGUGAGGGAAAGGCGAAAAGAACCCCGGCGAGGGGAGUGAAAAAGAACCUGAAACCGUGUACGUACAAGCAGUGGGAGCACGCUUAGGCGUGUGACUGCGUACCUUUUGUAUAAUGGGUCAGCGACUUAUAUUCUGUAGCAAGGUUAACCGAAUAGGGGAGCCGAAGGGAAACCGAGUCUUAACUGGGCGUUAAGUUGCAGGGUAUAGACCCGAAACCCGGUGAUCUAGCCAUGGGCAGGUUGAAGGUUGGGUAACACUAACUGGAGGACCGAACCGACUAAUGUUGAAAAAUUAGCGGAUGACUUGUGGCUGGGGGUGAAAGGCCAAUCAAACCGGGAGAUAGCUGGUUCUCCCCGAAAGCUAUUUAGGUAGCGCCUCGUGAAUUCAUCUCCGGGGGUAGAGCACU
rnacentral:rRNA from 1 species